UUCCACCCUAAAAAAAGAUAAAAAAAAUAAAAACCAGUUCCUCUCCUGUCGACAGAGAGGGAGGAGGCGCCCUCGCCGCCACACGGGCACACGGCCGCAGCCAGCGCCGCUCCCCUCCAGGCGUCACCGGUCGGCCGCUGCCUCUGCUCUGGCCCUGUCCUUAUCCUCGCCGGCUGUCCCCCACGCUCUGCUGUCCUGUCCCCUGUCGGCUGUCGCUGAGACGCCGACGCCAGCUAGCCCGCUCCCAUAUCGGCGCCGGCCGGCGGCACGGUCCCCUCCCCUCGCCGGCUCACCUCCAACCUGCAGGGCGUCUGCAGUCCGCACCAUUGCUGACUCCUCCGCGGCGCCAGACCGGCACUGCCGACCUACCGUAGCAAGUUAGCAAGGUCUCUUGGCCUUGCGUGGAGGGAGGGAGAAGGGAUAGAGGAGGAGUCCGGCGCAUCUGGAUCGGCGACGCCAAGCUUACUUUCUCCGCUCCACGCAUCCUUCUCCACCUCCUCCCCGCGACCCCGGCGGUGCUAUAUCACGCGGUCGUUGCGAGGAGGUGCGCCCCAUCCCUCCUUCGUAGCAGCUUCAGCAGGAGGAGGAAGAUGGUGGCAUCGGUGGCAAACGCCGGGGUGCUCGCGCUCUUCGACGUCGAUGGCACCCUCACCGCCCCCCGCAAGGAGGUGACGCUGGAGAUGCUCGAGUUCAUGAAGCGCCUGCGUGAGGUAGAUUUUGAAGGAUGGGCUCAAGGUUGAGGUGGUGACAUCGAAUCGGAACGACCGAGCUUUUGUGGAAGUUGGUGGACAGACCGGUGGCAUCUCCAAAACAGUCCAAAAUGCCAGCAAGGUUAUCUGACAGAACAGUUGGUCAUACAGUUACCAGCCCCGACGACACGGUGCAGCAGUUCAGAUCUAUCUUCCUGUCAAAGUGAUCGCCAGACUAUCGUCCAAAAUAAAUUUGUGUUCUCCACACCCCCUCGAAUGCUCACUCUUUUGGAAUAGUUCCUCAGUAGAUAGAUCUCCCUUUGAACUCUUACAUUUUUUGCAUCCCUCCCCUUUGGGAGCAAUUUCUCAUCAUUGUUAUUGUAAACAGAACUGUAUUGGUACACAUUCACAAACAACGGAUUUUGUAUGCAUGCAUUUGGCGCAAAUGUAUGAGGGCAUAUUUGGUCCA